CCUACGGGGGGCAGCAGUGGGGAAUAUUGCACAAUGGGGGAAACCCUGAUGCAGCGACGCCGCGUGAGUGAAGAAGUAUUUCGGUAUGUAAAGCUCUAUCAGCAGGGAAGAAGAAAGACGGUACCUGACUAAGAAGCCCCGGCUAACUACGUGCCAGCAGCCGCGGUACUACGUAGGGGGCAAGCGUUAUCCGGAUUUACUGGGUGUAAGGGGAGCGUAGACGGCUGUGCAAGUCUGAAGUGAAAGCCCAGGGCUCAACCCUGGGACUGCUUUGGAAACUGUGGAGCUAGAGUGCUGAGAGGUAGGUGGAAUUCGUAGUGUAGCGGUGAAAUGCGUAGAUAUUAGGAGGAACACCAGUGGCGAAGGCGGCUUACUGGACAGUAACUGACGUUGAGGCUCGAAAGCGUGGGGAGCAAACAGGAUUAGAUACCCCGGUAGUC
rnacentral:rRNA from 1 species